UACGUAGGGUGCAAGCGUUGUCCGGAAUUAUUGGGCGUAAAGAGCUUGUAGGCGGUUUGUCGCGUCUGCUGUGAAAAUCCGGGGCUCAACCCCGGACUUGCAGUGGGUACGGGCAGACUAGAGUGUGGUAGGGGAGACUGGAAUUCCUGGUGUAGCGGUGAAAUGCGUAGAUAUCUGGAGGAACACCGGUGGCGAAGGCGGCAUCCUGGGACCAGCAUUGACGCUGAGGCGCGAAAGCCAGGGGAGC
rnacentral:rRNA from 1 species